UGAUGGCUCCCCGCGUGGACGGAGACUUCCUCCCAGACCACCCAGCCACUCUGCUCAGGGAGGGCCGCUACAACGCCGUGGACAUCAUCGUCGGCAAAACACGGGACGAAGGCGCUUUAAACUCUCGUACAUUCUUGCAAGACGGCACAACGAACACCCUGAUACAAAACUACAGCACAGUUGUCCCCUUCGUGAUGGGCUUAAAUGUCUGGGACGACAACUUCGACUUCUUAGGCCGCCUCAUUUUCCACAGGUACUUGGGUGCCGUCGAGUUUGACAUGAGCAAGAUCGAUGCUCUGACCAAGCUCGUCAGUGACUCCUUCUACAGUACAUGCACCAUAGAAGCUAUAGAAAACCAUGCAAGGGGUACCGUCUAUGGCCGUCAUGUCUACGCUUACGAGUUGCA